GGCCACAGCACACACGGACUCAGCUCUCUCGUGCCUCGCUCGCUUCUAUCACAGCUAUGUCUGACAAACCCGAUAUGGCUGAGAUUGAGAAAUGCGAUAAGUCGAAAUUGAAGAAGACGGAAACGCAAGAGAAAAAUCCACUGCCUUCAAAAGAAACGAUCGAACAGGAGAAGCAAGCAGGCGAAUCGCACUGA